UACGUAGGGCGCAAGCGUUAUCCGGAAUUACUGGGCGUAAAGAGCUCGUAGGUGGUUUGUCGCGUUGUUCGUGAAAACUCACAACUCAAUUGUGGGCGUGCGGGCGAUACGGGCAGACUGGAGUACUGCAGGGGAGACUGGAAUUCCUGGUGUAGCGGUGAAAUGCGUAGAUAUCUGGAGGAACACCGGUGGCGAAGGCGGCAUCCUGGACCGGUAUUGACGCUGAGGCGCGAAAGCCAGGGGAGCAAACGGG
rnacentral:rRNA from 1 species